rnacentral:rRNA from 1 species
CAGCAGCCACGGUAAUACGAAGGGGGCUAGCGUUGCUCGGAAUGACUGGGCGUAAAGGGCGCGUAGGCGGAUGGUACAGUCAGAUGUGAAAUUCCUGGGCUUAACCUGGGGGCUGCAUUUGAUACGUGCGAUCUAGAGUGAGGAAGAGGGUCGUGGAAUUCCCAGUGUAGAGGUGAAAUUCGUAGAUAUUGGGAAGAACACCGGUGGCGAAGGCGGCGACCUGGUCCUUGACUGACGCUGAGGCGCGAAAGCGUGGGGAGCAAACAGGAUUAGAUACCCGGGUAGUCCCUGUCUCUUAUAA